rnacentral:rRNA from 1 species
AGAGUUUUCGAUCCUGGCGUACAGGACGAACGCUGGCGGCGUGCUUAACACAUGCAAGUCGAACGGAAAGGCCCUGCUUUUGUGGGUGCUCGAGUGGCGAACGGGUGAGUAACACGUGAGUAACCUGCCCUUGACUUUGGGAUAACUUCAGGAAACUGGGGCUAAUACCGGAUAGGAGCUCCUGCUGCAUGGUGGGGGUUGGAAAGUUUCGGCGGUUGGGGAUGGACUCGCGGCUUAUCAGCUUGUUGGUGGGGUAGUGGCUUACCAAGGCUUUGACGGGUAGCCGGCCUGAGAGGGUGACCGGCCACAUUGGGACUGAGAUACGGCCCAGACUCCUACGGGAGGCAGCAGUGGGGAAUAUUGCACAAUGGGCGGAAGCCUGAUGUAGCAACGCCGCGUGCGGGAUGACGGCCUUCGGGUUGUAAACCGCUUUCGCCUGUGACGAAGCGUGAGUGACGGUAAUGGGUAAAGAAGCACCGGCUAACUACGUG